CCUACGGGUGGCAGCAGUGAGGAAUAUUGGUCAAUGGACGAGAGUCUGAACCAGCCAAGUAGCGUGAAGGAUGACUGCCCUAUGGGUUGUAAACUUCUUUUAUAUGGGAAUAAAAUGUUCCACGUGUGGGAUUUUGUAUGUACCAUAUGAAUAAGGAUCGGCUAACUCCGUGCCAGCAGCCGCGGUAAUACGGAGGAUCCGAGCGUUAUCCGGAUUUAUUGGGUUUAAAGGGAGCGUAGGUGGAUUGUUAAGUCAGUUGUGAAAGUUUGCGGCUCAACCGUAAAAUUGCAGUUGAAACUGGCAGUCUUGAGUACAGUAGAGGUGGGCGGAAUUCGUGGUGUAGCGGUGAAAUGCUUAGAUAUCACGAAGAACUCCGAUUGCGAAGGCAGUUCACUGAACUGCCACUGACACUGAGGCUCGAAAGUGUGGGUAUCAAACAGGAUUAGAUACCCUUGUAGUC
rnacentral:rRNA from 1 species